rnacentral:rRNA from 1 species
AAGCAUAUCAAUAAGCGGAGGAAAAGAAACCAACAGGGAUUGCCUCAGUAACGGCGAGUGAAGCGGCAACAGCUCAAAUUUGAAAUCUGGCUUCGGCCCGAGUUGUAAUUUGCAGAGGAAGCUUUAGGCGCGGCACCAUCUGAGUCCCCUGGAACGGGGCGCCACAGAGGGUGAGAGCCCCGUAUAGAUGGACGCCUAGCCUGUGUAAAGCUCCUUCGACGAGUCGAGUAGUUUGGGAAUGCUGCUCAAAAUGGGAGGUAAAUUUCUUCUAAAGCUAAAUACCGGCCAGAGACCGAUAGCGCACAAGUAGAGUGAUCGAAAGAUGAAAAGCACUUUGAAAAGAGGGUUAAAUAGCACGUGAAAUUGUUGAAAGGGAAGCGCUUGUGACCAGACUUGCGCCGGGCGGAUCAUCCGGUGUUCUCACCGGUGCACUCCGCCCGGCUCAGGCCAGCAUCGGUUCUCGUGGGGGGAUAAAGGCACCGGGAACGUAGCUCCUCCGGGAGUGUUAUAGCCCGGGGCGUAAUGCCCUCGCGGGGACCGAGGACCGCGCAUCUGCAAGGAUGCUGGCGUAAUGGUCA